rnacentral:rRNA from 1 species
CGAUUAAGCCAUGCGAGUCGAGAGGUUUCUGACCUCGGCGUACUGCUCAGUAACACGUGGACAAUCUGCCCUGGAGAGGAGGAUAUCCCCGGGAAACUGGGAUUAAUACUCCAUAGUUCGUCUUAACUGGAAUGUUAUUCGAACGAAAGAUCCGUCGCUCCAGGAUGAGUCUGCGGCCGAUUAGGUAGUUGUUGGGGUAACGGCCCAACAAGCCUUUCAUCGGUACGGGUUGUGGGAGCAAGAGCCCGGAGAUGGAUUCUGAGACACGAAUCCAGGCCCUACGGGGCGCAGCAGGCGCGAAAACUUUACCAUGCGGGCAACCGUGAUAAGGAAACCCCGAGUGCCAGCACAGGCUGGCUGUCCGCCAGUUUAAAUAACUGGUGAAGAAAGGGCCGGGCAAGACCGGUGCCAGCCGCCGCGGUAAUACCGGCGGCUCGAGUGGUGGCCGCUAUUACUGGGCUUAAAGGGUCCGUAGCUUGAUAACUGGGUCCCUUGAGAAAUCCGCCAGCUUAACUGGCGGGCGUUCAGGGGAAACUUGUUUUCUAGGGACCGGGAGAGGUGAGGGGUACUGCCGGGGUAGGAGUGAAAUCCUGUAAUCCCGGUGGGACCACCUAUGGCGAAGGCAUCUCACCAGAACGGGUCCGACAGUGAGGGACGAAAGCUGGGGGAGCAAACCGGAUUAGAUACCCGGGUAGUCCCAGCUGUAAACUAUGUGCGUUAGGUGUGUCAGUGACCACGUGUCACUGAGGUGCCGAAGGGAAACCGUGAAACGCACCGCCUGGGGAGUACGGUCGCAAGGCUGAAACUUAAAGGAAUUGGCGGGGGAGCA